rnacentral:rRNA from 1 species
CUUGGUCAUUUAGAGGAAGUAAAAGUCGUAACAAGGUUUCCGUAGGUGAACCUGCGGAAGGAUCAUUAUUGAAAUAAACCUGAUGGGUUGUUGCUGGUUCUCUAGGGAGCAUGUGCACACCUUGUCAUCUUUAUAUCUCCACCUGUGCACUUUUUGUAGACCUUUCAGGUCUAUGUUGCUUCAUUUACCCCAAUGUAUGUUAAUAGAAUGUUGUGCCUAUAUAAUAUAUACAACUUUCAGCAACGGAUCUCUUGGCUCUCGCAUCGAUGAAGAACGCAGCGAAAUGCGAUAAGUAAUGUGAAUUGCAGAAUUCAGUGAAUCAUCGAAUCUUUGAACGCACCUUGCGCUCCUUGGUAUUCCGAGGAGCAUGCCUGUUUGAGUGUCAUUAAUAUAUCAACCUUCUCUUUUUUGAGUUGUUUGGAUGUGGGGGUUUGCUGGCCUCUUAAAUGAUUCAGCUCCCCUGAAAUGCAUUAGCAGAACAACCUGUUCAUUGGCGUGAUAAUUAUCUAUGCUAUUGAAUGUGAGGGCAGUUCAGCUUUCUAACCGUCCUCGGACAAUUCAUCAUUAAUGUGACCUCAAAUCAGGUAGGACUACCCGCUGAACUUAAGCA